rnacentral:rRNA from 1 species
UACAGAGGGUGCAAGCGUUGUUCGGAAUUACUGGGCGUAAAGCGCGUGUAGGCGGCGUCGUUAGUCGAAUGUGAAAGCCCUCGGCUCAACCGAGGAAGUGCAUCCGAUACUGCGACGCUUGAGUGUUGGAGGGGGUGGCGGAAUUCCCGGUGUAGAGGUGAAAUUCGUAGAUAUCGGGAGGAACACCUGGUGGCGAAGGCGGCCACCUGGACAACAACUGACGCUGAGACGCGAAAGCGUGGGUAGCAAACAGG